CCUACGGGUGGCAGCAGUGGGGAAUAUUGGACAAUGGGGGAAACUCUGAUCCAGCGACGCCGCGUGAGUGAAGAAGUAUUUCGGUACGUAAAGCUCUAUCAGCAGGAAAGAAAAUGACGGUACGUGACUAAGAAGCCCCGGCUAACUAAGUGCCAGCAGCCGCGGGAAUACGUAGGGGGCAAGCGUUAUCCGGAUUUACUGGGGGGAAAGGGAGCGUAGACGGCAGUGCAAGUCUGGAGGUAAAGGCCGGGGCCCAACCCCGGAACUGAGAUGGAAACUGGGAGGCUGGAGUGCAGGAGAGGGAAGCGGAAUUCCUGGUGUAGCGGUGAAAUGCGUAGAUAUCAGGAGGAACACCGGCGGCGAAGGCGGCUUACUGGACUGUAACUGACGUUGAGGCUCGAAGGCGUGGGGAGCAAACAGGAUUAGAUACCCGGGUAGUC
rnacentral:rRNA from 1 species